GAUGAACGCUGACAGAAUGCUUAACACAUGCAAGUCGAUGGGGAAGUGGUGCUUGCACCAUGGCAACCAUUGCGGACGGGUGAGUAACGCGUAAGGGACUUACCUGCAGGACUGGGAUAACAGGGGGAAACUCCUGACAAGACCGGAUAAUGUCAUGGAUCUGCAUGGCUUUAUGAUGAAAGGAGACGCCUGCGGAGAGCCUUGCGUCCUAUUAGCUAGUUGGUGAGGUAAUGGCUCACCAAGGCGAAGAUAGGUAGCCGGCCUGAGAGGGUGGACGGCCACAAGGGGACUGAGAGACGGCCCUUACUCCUACGGGAGGCAGCAGUGGGGAAUAUUGGACAAUGGGGGCAACCGUGAUCCAGCAAUUCUGUGUGCACGAAGAAGGUUUUCGGAUUGUAAAGUGCUUUCAGCAGGGAAGAAGUAAGUGACGGUACCUGCAGAAGAAGCGACGGCUAAAUACGUG
rnacentral:rRNA from 1 species